CACGUAGGGUGCGAGCGUUGUCCGGAAUUAUUGGGCGUAAAGAGCUCGUAGGCGGUGUGUCGCGUCGGCCGUGAAAACCCGCAGCUCAACUGUGGGCUUGCAGCUGAUACGGGCAGGCUUGAGUUCGGUAGGGGAGACUGGAAUUCCUGGUGUAGCGGUGAAAUGCGCAGAUAUCAGGAGGAACACCAAUGGCGAAGGCAGAUCUCUGGGCCGUAACUGACGCUGAGGAGCGAAAGCAUGGGGAGCGAACAGG
rnacentral:rRNA from 1 species